ensembl:lncRNA
AACAAAAGUUUCGGUUGUUAACUGUUUAACACAGAGACUUUAAAGAACUGGCCUUUUUAAGGUGCAGAGAAACAUGUUGUAAAAUUUGGAGUACCAGUUCAGUUACUGUGUUUAUUUUAUUAAUUUCUUUUGUCUAUUUAUGUACCUCUUGGCAGGUGUCAGAACUUUGGAGGAAAAUGAGAGGACUGAGAUUGAUGAAGAUGAUUAUGAAAAUGCAGCAAUAGCUCUGCAACAGAGAAAAGAUUCGGAUGAAUCUGGUGAAGACUAUGUGGAUAUAGAUGAUGAUUUGGAGAAAAGGCGAGUGGCCAAUAAUACAAAGUUUGCAGGAGCCAAAAACACAAACAAGACUACUUGCCUCAUGAAGAACACGGAGACAACUGUUCCAGAAAAAGAGGAUUCAGAUGAGACUGAUGAUGACUACAUCAACGUAGAUGAAACAGAAGCACAAAAUCAGUGUGCAGAUGCCAACUACACACAAGCGACUGCACACGAGGAGAGCGAUAUGGAAGAUGACGAUUAUGAAGAUCCAGAUGCUAAUAUUCAACAGAUUGUGGAUUCAGACGUCUCUGAUGAGGACUAUAUCAAUGUUAACUAAACAGUGGUGACAGUCCACUCGACUGCUUCUUCAAACAUAUAAGGACACUAAGCUCAGAGAAGCCUCUGAUUGGAUUAGACACUCCAACCAUUUCUCUAAUUCAGCUUCUCUUCUGAAGACUGCUUUCAUGUUUUACCACUAAAUGAACUGAAUGAACAGCUAACUUAUUGUCAUGUGCAUGAAACCAGUCUGAGAGACUUUUGCUUUGGUCAUGAAUGCGCAUUGUCAGUAAUGAUACUUAUAGAUUUAAAGGGGACACACUGAAACACCUGGUUUAGCACCCGAACAUCCCUUUCAGACAGCUUCCUAUUGCAUCCACAGUUAAUCCUGUUGGAUGUGGUUCGUAAUUCUUGGUAUGCUGACAUAAUGUUGUGUGCAUUGCAAUAUUUUGAGCAAAACUGGGCUCUUACCCUGCUAAUUGAACAUUCACACUCUGCUCUUACUGGUGCAAUGUGUAAUUAAUGAAUAUUGGCCACCAGGCUGCUCCAAUUUAGCCAUGAAACCUCCCACACUAAAAUGACAGGUGUUUUAGUUUCAUUGUCCAACCCAUGUAUUAAAUCUCUUUUUUUACAUAAGUUAGAAUAGAUCUAUGAGCUAUAUAAAACAUAUUCAUGAAGUUCUUUGCACAAAAUCACUCUCCGGCUCUAUUCUUGCCAGUUUCAGUCCCUAUCUGAAUGAGACGUUUAAGGGCUCUGUCAUGUUAUGCAAAUAAGCUGUUGCAAGCCAUAUAAUGUAUAUGCUUAGCAAUAUGCUCAGCAAUUACCAUGUGUUAGUGUUAGCUUCGGCUAAAUGGCAAAACAUGAACAAGUUAGUUCAUUUCUAACUGUGAUAGAAACACAAAACUCAUUAUUUGAAAGUACUUACAUCACCCACAUCUGCUGACAUGCCACAGACAGCAGGUACAGAUCCCCCCUCAGACGAAGUCUGUUGACUAAUCCUGCUGUGUAUUGUCUGAGGUCUUCAACCAAAAUAUCCAAAAAAUGGUAAUAUUCAACUGAUCUAGUGGGUGGGGCUUUGGUGGGGGUUGAUGGGUGAGGUGAGGUUGAUUCUAUCCAUGUUUCCAAACAGCUCACAAAAGAAUAUGAUUCCCGACACCAAACUCUUUCAACGGAUUCACAAAAAAUGGAUGGAAGUUUUUUUUUUCCAUAGGGGCAGUCGAUACCCAAGUGGAAAUACAAAAGCACCCAAAAACUGAGCCUUUUGUUUUAAACAAUAACAUUUUAAGAUAAUGUAACUCUGUAUUUGAGAAAGGUUCAAAUGUGCUUGAGAAAGGUUUGUGAAAAUAAUUUCCUGGCCAUGUGGUUCUAUCAGCUUUUUAAUGAAUGAUGGUUCUUGAUGCAGAGUCGUCUGAGGGAUUUAUGCUUGUGCCCUUAUCCUUUACACACUGAAUUAUUAUUAUUUAUAUCAGAUUUUUUUAGUAUUCAUGGUUUAUUGAAGAAAUAUGCAAAUUAUAUCCAGUCUUUUUUUUUUUGAGGAACAUUGUUUUUAAACAUUUCAACAAUUGUGUCAUGCAUUUGUUACAAAGUGGAAAUCCUCUGCUUGUCUUUGCUCCUCAAGGAAUUAAUUAGCCUUGGAUAUUGAAAGUACUGUAUACUGCUUUUGCACAAAAACAUGAAUCACCUGCUGACAUAACCUGAGUCUUCAUCCACACAAAAAUAUGUAAGGCACACCAAAAAAAACAGUUUGAAAUAUUUCUGAAACUACUUUUACAAAUUUUGACAUCAAAAAUACAUUAGUCUUGACCAGUACGGUCAGCUAAGCUUCCAGGCACCUAGCAAAAUAAAACAAAAGAAAAAAUCA